GAGCGAGUGAGCAGGCAGUCCGUGAUUUCCGACUGGAGGGGGAGAGGCAGGUGGUGAUGGCGUGAGGCGGCGUCCUGGACGGAGCUGGGAUGAAAGCAGGAGAGCUGGGUACGCAGGCGGGAAGAGCAGGCGGAGUGGGCAAGGGAUUUUCAGGUUACGGUCCAGCGUCGGGUUGUGGGAAGUGUCCGGUUUUUAUGGCAGCGGGUGAAUGAAUGAGAGCGCUCCUCUCCCCGCCACACGGAUCGAUCCGCUGAUUAGAAAUUGGCUGCACCUGUCCGCCCUGAAGCUGCAUCACACCAACACCUGCUUAGAGAGAGGGAGAGGAGGAGAAGAGGGAGGGGGGAGAAGAGAAAAGAGGGAGAAGAGAAAAGAGAGGCUGCCCCUAUCUGGCCCUAGAAGUAGAGGGCGUGACACAUCUAAAGCUUUUUCAGGCUGUUUGUGUCUUUUUAUAGUAUUUUUUUGCAGAAAGCAUCACAUGGAGGAUCUGCAGCCUCUCAGUUUCUGAGCACUUCAUCCAUGCAGUGAUCACGGUGGGCAGGGCAACAACUUUGGCUGCUCUGAUUGGCUGCCAGAAA